CAGUCGCCACGGUAAUACGUAGGUGGCAAGCGUUGUCCGGAAUUAUUGGGCGUAAAGGGCUCGUAGGCGGUUUCUUAAGUCUGAUGUGAAAGCCCCCGGCUCAACCGGGGAGGGUCAUUGGAAACUGGGAAACUUGAGUGCAGAAGAGGAGAGUGGAAUUCCACGUGUAGCGGUGAAAUGCGUAGAGAUGUGGAGGAACACCAGUGGCGAAGGCGACUCUCUGGUCUGUAACUGACGCUGAGGAGCGAAAGCGUGGGGAGCGAACAGGAUUAGAUACCCCGGUAGUCCCUGUCUCUUAUAC
rnacentral:rRNA from 1 species